CUUAGAGCUUGAUCCUGGCUCAGGAUGAACGCUGGCGGUAUGCUUAACACAUGCAAGUCGAACGGUGUCUUCGGACAUAGGGCGGACGGGUGAGUAACGCGUGAGAAUCUAGCUUCAGGUCUGGGACAACCACUGGAAACGGUGGCUAAUACCGGAUGUGCCGGAAGGUGAAAGGCUUGCUGCCUGAAGAUGAGCUCGCGUCCGAUUAGCUAGUAGGUGGGGUAAGAGCCUACCUAGGCGACGAUCGGUAGCUGGUCUGAGAGGAUGACCAGCCACACUGGGACUGAGACACGGCCCAGACUCCUACGGGAGGCAGCAGUGGGGAAUUUUCCGCAAUGGGCGAAAGCCUGACGGAGCAAUACCGCGUGAGGGAGGAAGGCUCUUGGGUUGUAAACCUCUUUUCUCAGGGAAGAACACAAUGACGGUACCUGAGGAAUCAGCAUCGGCUAACUCCGUGCCAGCAGCCGCGGUAAUACGGAGGAUGCAAGCGUUAUCCGGAAUGAUUGGGCGUAAAGCGUCCGCAGGUGGCUGUGUAAGUCUGCUGUCAAAGAGCAAAGCUCAACUUUGUAAAGGCAGUGGAAACUACACGGCUAGAGUGCGUUCGGGGCAGAGGGAAUUCCUGGUGUAGCGGUGAAAUGCGUAGAGAUCAGGAAGAACACCGGUGGCGAAGGCGCUCUGCUAGGCCGCAACUGACACUGAGGGACGAAAGCUAGGGGAGCGAAUGGGAUUAGAUACCCCAGUAGUCCUAGCUGUAAACGAUGGAU
rnacentral:rRNA from 1 species